rnacentral:rRNA from 1 species
UACGAAGGGGGCGAGCGUUGUUCGGAUUUACUGGGCGUAAAGGGCGCGCAGGCGGCUCAUUUUGUCAGGCGUGAAAGCCCCGGGCUUAACCUGGGAGCUGCGUUUGAUACGGAUGGGCUAGAGUUCGGGAGAGGAGAGUGGAAUUCCCAGUGUAGAGGUGAAAUUCGUAGAUAUUGGGAAGAACACCGGUGGCGAAGGCGGCUCUCUGGACCGAUACUGACGCUGAGGCGCGAAAGCGUGGGGAGCAAACAGG